CCUACGGGAUGCAGCAGUGGGGAAUAUUGGACAAUGGGCGAAAGCCUGAUCCAGCCAUGCCGCGUGUGUGAAGAAGGCCUUCGGGUUGUAAAGCACUUUCAGUGGGGAAGAAAGCCUUGGGGCUAAUACCCUCGAGGAAGGACAUCACCCACAGAAGAAGCACCGGCUAACUCCGUGCCAGCAGCCGCGGUAAUACGGAGGGUGCGAGCGUUAAUCGGAAUUACUGGGCGUAAAGCGCGCGUAGGCGGUCUGAUAAGCCGGUUGUGAAAGCCCCGGGCUCAACCUGGGAACGGCAUCCGGAACUGUCCGGCUAGAGUGCAGGAGAGGAAGGUAGAAUUCACGGUGUAGCGGUGAAAUGCGUAGAGAUCGGGAGGAAUACCAGUGGCGAAGGCGGCCUUCUGGACUGACACUGACGCUGAGGUGCGAAAGCGUGGGUAGCAAACAGGAUUAGAUACCCGGGUAGUC
rnacentral:rRNA from 1 species